AUGAACGCUGGCGGCGUGCCUAAUACAUGCAAGUCGAGCGAACAGAUGAGGAGCUUGCUCCUCUGACGUUAGCGGCGGACGGGUGAGUAACACGUGGAUAACCUACCUAUAAGACUGGGAUAACUUCGGGAAACCGGAGCUAAUACCGGAUAAUAUAUUGAACCGCAUGGUUCAAUAGUGAAAGACGGUUUUGCUGUCACUUAUAGAUGGAUCCGCGCCGCAUUAGCUAGUUGGUAAGGUAACGGCCUACCAAGGCAACGAUGCGUAGCCGACCUGAGAGGGUGAUCGGCCACACUGGAACUGAGACACGGUCCAGACUCCUACGGGAGGCAGCAGUAGGGAAUCUUCCGCAAUGGGCGAAAGCCUGACGGAGCAACGCCGCGUGAGUGAUGAAGGUCUUCGGAUCGUAAAACUCUGUUAUUAGGGAAGAACAAAUGUGUAAGUAACUAUGCACGUCUUGACGGUACCUAAUCAGAAAGCCACGGCUAACUACGUG
rnacentral:rRNA from 1 species